ACGCUCGACACUAGGGGGCAGCAGUGGGGAAUAUUGCACAAUGGGGGAAACCCUGAUGCAGCAACGCCGCGUGAAGGAAGACGGUUUUCGGAUUGUAAACUUCUGUUCUUAGUGAAGAUAGUGACGGUAGCUAAGGAGCAAGCCACGGCUAACUACGUGCCAGCACGCCGACGGUAAUCUGAGGCGGGUCGUGGACGAAGGC
rnacentral:rRNA from 1 species